rnacentral:rRNA from 1 species
UGCUAUACAUGCAGUCGAGCGAAUGAUGAGGAGCUUGCUCCUCUGAUUUAGCGGCGGACGGGUGAGUAACACGUGGGUAAUCUGCCUGUAAGACGGGGAUAACUCCGGGAAACCGGGGCUAAUACCGGAUAAUAAGAGAAGAAGCAUUUCUUCUUUUUGAAAGUCGGUUUCGGCUGACACUUACAGAUGAGCCCGCGGCGCAUUAGCUAGUUGGUGAGGUAACGGCUCACCAAGGCGACGAUGCGUAGCCGACCUGAGAGGGUGAUCGGCCACACUGGGACUGAGACACGGCCCAGACUCCUACGGGAGGCAGCAGUAGGGAAUCUUCGGCAAUGGGCGAAAGCCUGACCGAGCAACGCCGCGUGAGCGAUGAAGGCCUUCGGGUCGUAAAGCUCUGUUGUUAGAGAAGAACAAGUACGAGAGUAACUGCUCGUACCUUGACGGUACCUAACCAGAAAGCCACGGCUAACUACGUGCCAGCAGCCGCGGUAAUACGUAGGUGGCAAGCGUUAUCCGGAAUUAUUGGGCGUAAAGCGCGCGCAGGCGGUCUCUUAAGUCUGAUGUGAAAGCCCACGGCUCAACCGUGGAGGGUCAUUGGAAACUGGGAGACUUGAGUGCAGGAGAGAAAAGUGGAAUUCCACGUGUAGCGGUGAAAUGCGUAGAGAUGUGGAGGAACACCAGUGGCGAAGGCGGCUUUUUGGCCUGUAACUGACGCUGAGGCGCGAAAGCGUGGGGAGCAAACAGGAUUAGAUACCCUGGUAGUCCACGCCGUAAACGAUGAGUGCUAGGUGUUGGGGGGUUCCACCCUCAGUGCUGAAGUUAACACAUUAAGCACUCCGCCUGGGGAGUACGACCGCAAGGUUGAAACUCAAAGGAAUUGACGGGGGCCCGCACAAGCAGUGGAGCAUGUGGUUUAAUUCGAAGCAACGCGAAGAACCUUACCAGGUCUUGACAUCCUUUGACCACUCUAGAGAUAGAGCUUUCCCCUUCGGGGGACAAAGUGACAGGUGGUGCAUGGUUGUCGUCAGCUCGUGUCGUGAAAUGUUGGGUUAAGUCCCGCAACGAGCGCAACCCUUGACCUUAGUUGCCAGCAUUCAGUUGGGCACUCUAAGGUGACUGCCGGUGACAAACCGGAGGAAGGUGGGGACGACUUC